CCUACGGGGGGCAGCAGUGGGGAAUAUUGGACAAUGGGCGAAAGCCUGAUCCAGCCAUGCCGCGUGUGUGAAGAAGGCCUUCGGGUUGUAAAGCACUUUCAGUGGGGAAGAAAGCCUUGGGGCUAAUACCCUCGAGGAAGGACAUCACCCACAGAAGAAGCACCGGCUAACUCCGUGCCACGCAGCCGCGGUAAUACGGAGGGUGCGAGCGUUAAUCGGAAUUACUGGGCGUAAAGCGCGCGUAGGCGGUCUGAUAAGCCGGUUGUGAAAGCCCCGGGCUCAACCUGGGAACGGCAUCCGGAACUGUCAGGCUAGAGUGCAGGAGAGGAAGGUAGAAUUCCCGGUGUAGCGGUGAAAUGCGUAGAGAUCGGGAGGAAUACCAGUGGCGAAGGCGGCCUUCUGGACUGACACUGACGCUGAGGUGCGAAAGCGUGGGUAGCAAACAGGAUUAGAUACCCCGGUAGUC
rnacentral:rRNA from 1 species